GAUGAACGCUGGCGGCGUGCCUAAUACAUGCAAGUCGAGCGAACAGACGAGGAGCUUGCUCCUCUGACGUUAGCGGCGGACGGGUGAGUAACACGUGGAUAACCUACCUAUAAGACUGGGAUAACUUCGGGAAACCGGAGCUAAUACCGGAUAAUAUAUUGAACCGCAUGGUUCAAUAGUGAAAGACGGUUUUGCUGUCACUUAUAGAUGGAUCCGCGCCGCAUUAGCUAGUUGGUAAGGUAACGGCUUACCAAGGCAACGAUGCGUAGCCGACCUGAGAGGGUGAUCGGCAACACUGGAACUGAGACACGGUCAAGACUCCUACGGGAGGCAGCAGUAGGGAAUCUUCCGCAAUGGGCGAAAGCCUGACGGAGCAACGCCGCGUGAGUGAUGAAGGUCUUCGGAUCGUAAAACUCUGUUAUUAGGGAAGAACAAAUGUGUAAGUAACUAUGCACGUCUUGACGGUACCUAAUCAGAAAGCCACGGCUAACUACGUG
rnacentral:rRNA from 1 species